rnacentral:rRNA from 1 species
AGAGCGCAAGGGGAAUGCCUUGGCAUCAGGAGCCGAAGAAGGACGUGACAAGCUGCGAUAAGCUUCGGGGAGCCGCAAAUAGGCUUUGAUCCGGAGAUUUCCGAAUGGGGAAACCCACUGGAGCAAUACUCCAGUAACCUGCGUUGAAUCAAAUAGGCGUAGGUGGGGAACCGCCUGAACUGAAACAUCUAAGUAGGGCGAGGAAGAGAAAUCAACCGAGAUUCCGCUAGUAGUGGCGAGCGAACGCGGAAGAGGCCAAACCAAGGGUAGUAAUACCUUUGGGGUUCGGACAGCAUACGGUAUUGGUAAUCGAUAGUAGAAUGAAAUGGGAAGUUCAACCAUAGAGCGUGAUAGUCGCGUAAACGAAAUUGAGAGCCAGCCAGCUGUAUCCAGAGUACCGCCGGACACGUGAAACCCGGUGGGAAUACGGGGGGACCACCCUCCAAGCCUAAAUACUCUCCAAUGACCGAUAGUGUAUAGUACUGUGAAGGAAAGGUGAAAAGAACCCCUGGCGGGGAGUGAAAUAGAACCUGAAACCUUGUGCCUACAAGCACAUAGAGCACAUCAACGUGUGAUAUGGUACCUUUUGUAGAAUGGUCCGGCGAGUAAAUGUCACUGGCGAGGUUAAGGACUUAAGGUCUGCAGCCGAAGCGAAAGCGAGUCUUAACUGGGCGAAUUAGUCAGUGGUAUUUGACCCGAAACCGAGUGACCUAGCCAUGAGCAGGCUGAAGUGGAGGUAAAACUCCAUGGAGGGCCGAACCCACUCCCGUUGAAAUGGUAGGGGAUGACUUGUGGCUAGCGGAGAAAUUCCAAUCGAACUCGGAGAUAGCUGGUUCUCUCCGAAAUAGCUUUAGGGCUAGCCUCAAUUAACAUUACCGAAGGUAAAGCACUGACUGAGCUAGGGGGCGAAAGCUUACUGAACUCUAUCAAACUAAGAAUGUCGGAUAAUGAAUGAUUGGGAGUCACACUACGUGAGAUAAGUUUCGUGGUGGAAAGGGAAACAGCCCAGACCCACAGCUAAGGUCCCAAAGUAUGGUUAAGUGGAAAAGGAUGUGAAGUUGCGCAGACAACCAGGAUGUUGGCUCAGAAGCAGCCACUCAUUCAAAGAGUGCGUAAUAGCUCACUGGUCGAGUGACUUUGCGCCGAAAAUUUAACGGGGCUAAACCAUACACCGAAGCUUGGGAAUAUAUGAUUUUAGGAUUGUAUGUUGGUAGGAGAGCGUCGUAUACGGGGUGAAGUCGUAGCGAAAGCGGCGGUGGACUGUAUACGAGUGAGAAUGCCGGAAUGAGUAGCGAGAAUUAUGUGAGAAUCAUAAUGGCCGAAAGACUAAGGUUUUAGAAGGAAGGUUCGUCCGCUUCUAGUUAGCCGGGAGCUAAGGCGAGGCCGAGAGGCGUAGUCGAUGCACAUACGGUUGAGAUUCCGUAGCCACCUUACAUUUAAACUAAGGGACACAUCGAAAGAGCAUAACCCAGGCGUUGGUUGACCUGGGCGUAAGGGAACGAAGAUUAGUAGGGAAGUAUGCUUAGACGGUGGCGAGAAAAGCUUAGUGUAUAUAAGUAGGGUGCCCGUACUGUAAACCGACACAGGUAGUCAGGAAGAGAAUUCUAAGGCCAACGGGAGAAGGGUUGUUAAGGAACUCGGCAAAUUGACCCCGUAACUUCGGAAUAAGGGGUGCUCACGAGAGUGAGCCGCAGUGAAUAGGUCCAGGCAACUGUUUAUCAAAAACACAGCUCUCUGCUAAAUCGUAAGAUGACGUAUAGGGGGUGACACCUGCCCGGUGCUGGAAGGUUAAGAGGAGGAGUGCAAGCCCCGAAUUGAAGCCCCAGUAAACGGCGGCCGUAACUAUAACGGUCCUAAGGUAGCGAAAUUCCUUGUCGGGUAAGUUCCGACCCGCACGAAUGGCGUAAUGAUUUGGGCGCUGUCUCAACAGUGGACCCGGCGAAAUUGUAGUAUAUGUGAAGAUGCAUAUUACCCGCGACUGGACGGAAAGACCCCGUAGAGCUUUACUGUAACUUGAUAUUGGAUUUCGGUAAUUAAUGUACAGGAUAGGUGGGAGACUGAGAAGCAGAGGCGUCAGCUUCUGUGGAGUCGCCCUUUGGAUACCACCCUUUGAUUAUUGGAAUUCUAACCUUGUGCCGUUAUCCGGGCAAGGGACAGUGUCAGGUGGACAGUUUGACUGGGGCGGUCGCCUCCUAAAGAGUAACGGAGGCGUUCAAAGGUUCCCUCAGAACGGUUGGAAAUCGUUCGUAGAGUGUAAAGGUAUAAGGGAGCUUGACUGAGAGACAGACAUGUCGACCAGAUACGAAAGUAGGACUUAGUGAUCCGGCGGUAGAGAAUGGAAUUGCCGUCGCUUAACGGAUAAAAGUUACCUCGGGGAUAACAGGCUUAUCUCCCCCAAGAGUUCACAUCGACGGGGAGGUUUGGCACCUCGAUGUCGGCUCAUCGCAUCCUGGGGCUG